UACGAAGGGGGCUAGCGUUGCUCGGAAUCACUGGGCGUAAAGCGCACGUAGGCGGCUUUCUAAGUCAGGGGUGAAAUCCUGGAGCUCAACUCCAGAACUGCCUUUGAUACUGGGAGCUCGAGUCCGGGAGAGGUGAGUGGAACUCCGAGUGUAGAGGUGAAAUUCGUAGAUAUUCGGAAGAACACCAGUGGUGAAGGCGGCUCACUGGCCCGGUACUGACGCUGAGGAGGCGAAAGCGUGGGGAGCGAACAGG
rnacentral:rRNA from 1 species